rnacentral:rRNA from 1 species
AACGAACGCUGGCGGCAUGCCUAACACAUGCAAGUCGAACGAGACCUUCGGGUCUAGUGGCGCACGGGUGCGUAACGCGUGGGAACCUGCCCUUAGGUUCGGAAUAACUCCCCGAAAGGGGUGCUAAUACCGGAUAAUGUCUUCGGACCAAAGAUUUAUCGCCUUUGGAUGGGCCCGCGUUGGAUUAGCUAGUUGGUAGGGUAAAAGCCUACCAAGGCGACGAUCCAUAGCUGGUCUGAGAGGAUGAUCAGCCACACUGGGACUGAGACACGGCCCAGACUACUACGGGAGGCAGCAGUGGGGAAUAUUGGACAAUGGGCGAAAGCCUGAUCCAGCAAUGCCGCGUGAGUGAUGAAGGCCUUAGGGUUGUAAAGCUCUUUUACACGGGAUGAUAAUGACAGUACCGGGAGAAUAAGCUCCGGCUAACUCCGUG